ACGAACGCUGGCGGCGUGCCUAAUACAUGCAAGUCGAGCGCGGGAAGCAAGCUGAUCCUCUUCGGAGGUGACGCUUGUGGAACGAGCGGCGGACGGGUGAGUAACACGUGGGCAACCUGCCUGUAAGACUGGGAUAACCCCGGGAAACCGGGGCUAAUACCGGAUAAUACUUUUCAUCACCUGAUGGAAAGUUGAAAGGUGGCUUCUUGCUACCACUUACAGAUGGGCCCGCGGCGCAUUAGCUAGUUGGUGAGGUAACGGCUCACCAAGGCAACGAUGCGUAGCCGACCUGAGAGGGUGAUCGGCCACACUGGGACUGAGACACGGCCCAGACUCCUACGGGAGGCAGCAGUAGGGAAUCUUCCGCAAUGGACGAAAGUCUGACGGAGCAACGCCGCGUGAGUGAUGAAGGUUUUCGGAUCGUAAAGCUCUGUUGUUAGGGAAGAACAAGUGCCGUUCGAAUAGGGCGGCACCUUGACGGUACCUAACCAGAAAGCCCCGGCUAACUACGUGCCAGCAGCCGCGGUAAUACGUAGGGGGCAAGCGUUGUCCGGAAUUAUUGGGCGUAAAGCGCGCGCAGGCGGUCCUUUAAGUCUGAUGUGAAAGCCCACGGCUUAACCGUGGAGGGUCAUUGGAAACUGGAGGACUUGAGUACAGAAGAGGAGAGUGGAAUUCCACGUGUAGCGGUGAAAUGCGUAAAGAUGUGGAGGAACACCAGUGGCGAAGGCGACUCUCUGGUCUGUAACUGACGCUGAGGCGCGAAAGCGUGGGGAGCGAACAGGAUUAGAUACCCUGGUAGUCCACGCCGUAAACGAUGAGUGCUAGGUGUUAGGGGGUUUCCGCCCCUUAGUGCUGAAGUUAACGCAUUAAGCACUCCGCCUGGGGAGUACGGCCGCAAGGCUGAAACUCAAAAGAAUUGACGGG
rnacentral:rRNA from 1 species